UGUUUCCUAAAACCUGUGUUUUAGAAUUUCUAUUCAAAAUUCUUUCAUUCAUAGCAUCUAUCUGUGCCCAGUUAUAUAGAAUAAGGAGACAAAUCCAUCUCUCUGGUUUAGAUUCUUUCAAAGUGACCUAAAACCUUUAUCACACUAAGGUUUUCCUUAGGUACGCAUGGGAAGCAGACGUGGAAUAGGAGAUAGCCAACAGGUGCAACGCCUAAGAGAAAGCAAAGGGCCCAGAGAUCAUUUGAACUCCGCCUUGUAAUGCAGCCUGUCAGACGAACUAGCCAUCCUUGACUUUUCCUCUUCAUUGCGAGCUCACAGUCCAGAAAACAUCCCACCUAAUAGGAUAAAGGUAGAUUCUUUGUCCCAUGCUGCUCCAGAGAUCUUUCUGUGUUGAUCCGAAUUUAAUGGUGGAAAUGUGGAGUUAAAGACAGAAGAGAUGUCUGGGGGCAAAAUGCCCUACAAAGGAAGGGCACAGAGAUCCAUAUGGAAAGUUUUUCUAAAUGGUUUAUAUUUUGCUCACUAGAACUUCUCAUUCCCUGUUCCAGAUUGGGAACACUGGGAACAGUGUACUAUUCUAAUAAAUAUCUCUUGCUCCUAA